UUAAUAUCUAAUUAGCAUAGUUUAAGUCCAAACCAAUUCAGUAUGGGCCUCAGAUCCAAUGCCUGGAGGUGGAUUCACUACAGGGAGGUGCAAGGACAAGCUCUGUUUGGGCCUUAAGGAGGUUAGGCCCAAAGUACAUGGAUAAGGAGGAAAACGAAAAGCCUCUCGUCACUCAUCUUCUUCAUGUUCAUUGGCUUUGAGACAGAGGAAGUGAGUUCCGCCGCACCUAACCGCGACGAAGAAACUAACCGCGCCGGUUCUCGCCACCGGCAGUAGUGGUGGUUCUAAAAUGUGAAUCCUAAUUGCGAAUUGAAAACUGAACCUCACGGAGUUACCUUCGGCGACGCGUUCGGCUUCGGCAACUACAGCGUACGGAGGAGAUGGCCCGUGUUCAAUCCGCUCCUCAAUCCUGCUCCUCUCGAUCGAAACGCACACGAUAUCCAAUUACCAGCAACGGCAACGAUGAAACCGAAACGAACGUGAGAUUCCAUAUCCAGGAAUUUUUUCUCGUUUCUAUGCACAGUAGCGAGGUUGCGAGAGUUCCCAUAAAUUGCCUUGAAGAAUCGGCGCGAAUGAAUGGGUGAUGGGAUGAGGGAUUAACAAUUUGAAGAAAAAUGAGAGAGAACUUGAGAGUGUUCUUCGCGGAAGAGAAAAAGGAGAGACUGUUCCACUGUUAGCUCAACCUCUUAUAUAGAAAAUGUGUUGGUAAUUUUCAUGAAUUGGAGCUACCCUGGGUUUACGAUGCCGUUUACGCUUAUAAAGCUACCAUAUUUUUACAUUUUGAUUGCCACUCUGUGUCGUUCAUGGUUUGAUUCACAUUAACUGCUUGCAGCCUACAACUUGCAGCUUGGUUUUGUUAUUGUCCUUAGCUGGCUUGGUUCGCUGUGUAGUGUUUAGAAGUGUUAGUGGAAGACCCCAAUUUUGACUCUAAGAUCCCUCAUGCAAAUUUAUCAUAAGCAUUAGCAUUGGAAUCAUACCCCUUACCAUUCUUUCAUUGGGUUUGUUUUGGUAGAGAUCACCAAGCAUUUUUUGAUUAUAUCAUACUUGUAUUUUAUAAGUUUACUAACUAAAAUACCAAAAAUAUUCCUUUGCAUUUGCCUAA